AACAAAUUAAAUAGCAAGCAGAUAUUUUCCUUUAACUAAAAAUUACUUUCUUAUUUCCAGGUACGUGAUUUACGGUUGAAGAGCAUUUUCCAACUAUUUGUCUCGUGCAUUACUGAAACAUAAAUGGUUGAAGCAGCUCUCCAGUGACUGUCACACACUUCAGCUGGCCCAGAGGUGUCCUGACGUGUGAGGAGAGAUGAGCAGGAGGAAUGGGGGAAGAACAAACCCAGGGAUCUGAAGCCUCAGCCAUGACUGAUGAACUCAGCAUAAAGCCACUGACUGAAGGGAAAAGAGACUCAGACAAAGAAUCUAUGUUAAAUGUGAUCAAAAAUUCUGAUGGGCAGUUUAACCUUGAGGCUGCAAUUAGAAAUGUUGACACAAUGUCCAACGAGUUGAAGAAAAUAAAUGUGGAAAGCCAGCUACUGCUUUGUGACCUGAUUUUGAAUUUCAACCAUCCAAUGAAGGCCAAAGAUUUAAGAGAAGCUGAAGAAAAGACUUGGAGUUUGACUGAUUAAGUAGCAUCCAUUUUCAUGUAUUGUCUUCUCUUAAUACUGUGAAGUUGCUUCUUCUUUCUUCUUCCUUCUUCCUUCUUCCUUCUUUCUUCUUUCUUUAAUUCUUUCUUCUCUCUUUUAAUUAAGUUUGAACUGUACAAUGAUCGCAUGGUUUCUUGAAGGUAGACUAUUUUUGUUUUAAGCUAAACAUGUGGAAUGGAAAAAAAACUAGGUUAUUCAUUCUAAGAGUGGUUUUUUCAACUCACAUUUCCCAAAUUAAGCCCACUAGGGCUGGAAAGACUGAUGUGAUUAAUUUAAAAGGUCAGGAAACUGGGCAUGAAGUUUCUCAUGUGGUUUUCUCCUUUUAAACAAAAAUGUGUUGGAACAAUAGCAAAUAUUUGAAAUUUACUUCAAGUCACUGUCUGUUGUCUCAUUUGUGCCUGGGGAAACAGGAUAAGAAACUGCCAGUGAAGGAGGAACUGCAGUUUGUGUUUUGAGCUGCCUUCCUUGUCUUUAAAAUGUUGCUGAGGAAGUGGUCAAAGAACAGAUUACUUCUGGAAAACCAAAAAUGCUUUCCAUUCCAGUUUCUGUAGUGACUCUCUAAUGUAACCAGCUACAAGAAUAGGAGCAGUUUGUGGUUUCAGUGCUCUGUCCUGAAAUCUUCUUGGCCCAACAUUUUCACAGCUAAUUUCAUGUAGUUCAUUACAAUUCAUAUUCAAUCAUACUUUACUUGUGGACAUGUUUGAAUGUUGAGAUGUAGCUUUAUUCUUACACCAAAUAUAUUUCUCUGAAUAAUCAAAUAGAGAUUUAUUCUACUUUUUAAAAAAAUAUGCAGUGUUAGAAUUUGUCAUGCUGGUUUAUGUUUGAUUUCUCUUUCGCUGG
rnacentral:lncRNA from 1 species